rnacentral:rRNA from 1 species
UGGGGAAUAUUGGACAAUGGGCGCAAGCCUGACCCAGCCAUGCCGCGUGAGUGAUGAAGGCCCUAGGGUUGUAAAGCUCUUUCACCGGUGAAGAUAAUGACGGUAACCGGAGAAGAAGCCCCGGCUAACUUCGUGCCAGCAGCCGCGGUAAUACGAAGGGGGCUAGCGUUGUUCGGAUUUACUGGGCGUAAAGCGCACGUAGGCGGACUAUUAAGUCAGGGGUGAAAUCCCGGGGCUCAACCCCGGAACUGCCUUUGAUACUGGUAGUCUUGAGUUCGAGAGAGGUGGGUGGAAUUCCGAGUGUAGAGGUGAAAUUCGUAGAUAUUCGGGGGAACACCAGUGGCGAAGGCGGCUCACUGGCUCGAUACUGACGCUGAGGUGCGAAAGCGUGGGGAGCAAACAGG